AGCAACUUGACGCAGUGGAAGCGUGCGGGGCUCAUAUCACGUGAUACCCCGAAGUCCCUGGAUCGAAACCAGGAGUUGCUA